AUUGCCAGUUCCCCCACCAAAUGUCCACUCUCAUGAUCUCACAGAUGAAAUCUGGUGGUUAAAGGGUCUGGUUCUACAUGGGGCACCACAGGCAGGAACCCAUACAGGGCAUCUCAGCAAUUCCCUGGUAAAGAGACCAUUUUUCUGCCUGGAUCAGGAAGAUCCAUUUUCCACCCAGCAAAGAGGGGCCAAUUUCCCUGCUUGUGUGACCUCUUGAAGCAAACUGGUGCCAUGAAGGAAGCAGAAGAAAAUAGCUGAAAAUGGGGAGAGAGGCAGCCCGAGAGCGAGCUGGUGCCUUGUGGACUGAGAUAGGCUCUUUGCCUGCUUUGUUAUAAUACUUCAUUGGAACUGACACAUUGAUAGCCACAGUUUUUCUAGGAAGUGACCUUCAUGCUGCCCAUUGAUUCCCAGUGGCCAUCAACUCCUUGCAAUUGGAAUGACAGGCCAGGUUAAAGG